CCUACGGUGGGCAGCAGUGGGGGAUAUUGCACAAUGGGGGAAACCCUGAUGCAGCGACGCCGCGUGUGGGAAGACGGUCCUCUGGAUUGUAAACCACUGUCCCCAGGGACGAAGAUGACGGUACCGGGGGAGGAAGCACCGGCUAACUACGUGCCAGCAGGCGCGGUAAGACGGCGGGAGCGAGCGGUGGCCGGAAUUACUGGGGGUAAAGGGAGCGUAGGCGGGGAGGCAAGGUGGGGGUCCACACUACCGGCUCAACUGGUAGUCGCACUCAAAACUGCAGCUCUUGAGUGAAGUAGAGGCAGGCGGAAUUCCUAGUGUAGCGGUGAAAUGCGUAGAUAUUAGGAGGAACACCAGUGGCGACGGCGGCCUGCUGGGCUUUUACUGACGCUGAGGCUCGAAAGUGUGGGGAGCAAACAGGAUUAGAUACCCCAGUAGUC
rnacentral:rRNA from 1 species